rnacentral:rRNA from 1 species
UACGUAGGGUGCAAGCGUUGUCCGGAAUUAUUGGGCGUAAAGAGCUCGUAGGCGGCUAAGUAAGUCGGGUGUGAAAACUCCAGGCUCAACCUGGAGACGCCACCUGAUACUGCUUUGGCUAGAGUCCGGUAGGGGAGCAUGGAAUUCCUGGUGUAGCGGUGAAAUGCGCAGAUAUCAGGAGGAACACCAGUGGCGAAGGCGGUGCUCUGGGCCGGAACUGACGCUGAGGAGCGAAAGCCAGGGAGCAAACGGG